GACGUAGGGCGCGAGCGUUGUCCGGAUUUAUUGGGCGUAAAGAGCGUGUAGGCGGCCAGACAGGUCAGCUGUGAAAACUCGAGGCUCAACCUCGAGACGUCGGUUGAAACCGUCUGGCUAGAGUCCGGAAGAGGAGAGUGGAAUUCCCGGUGUAGCGGUGAAAUGCGCAGAUAUCGGGAAGAACACCCGUGGCGAAGGCGGCUCUCUGGGACGGUACUGACGCUGAGACGCGAAAGCGUGGGGAGCAAACAGG
rnacentral:rRNA from 1 species